GCCAUCAAAUCACAGAGAGGAUUGUUAAAUUACAGAAGGUAAAGUAAGUGGGAUGGAAAGCCUCAGAAGAGGUUAAGUAAAAAUCAAGAGAGGAGAAGGUAACCAUGUGGGAAUUGCCUGAAAGUCUGAACCCAGCACAGGCUGCUCUUUGAUUUUGUUCCUCGGUGGCAAAGAGACUUCCAUGGUGAUGACUGACCAUGAGAACAAGACUCCUCUUUCAGAGAGACCUGGGGAUGUCAACAGAUUGUCAUGCCUUGCAGAGGAAAAGCCGAGGUUGGGACUCGGCAGGGAGGAGCCACGACAACAGCUGAUCCAGCUAAGGGGAAACUUCAGAUAUGAGGGGGUAAUUGUAUCAUAGACCCUUUUGAUACAGCUCAGGUAGGUGUGCUUUUGUUGAAAAAGAAGUCUCUGGCUUUUAGCUGUUUAACACAAACAAAUAUGAAUCAAUGCAUAAUAUUUUCCAGAAAAUCCAUUUUCAAUACCCAAGAUAACUUGUAAAUUGUAUAACCAAGUUUGAAGCAGAUAUGACACUAGUGUCAGCAUGUUUACAUUACUCAUGCAUUUAAACUGGUAUAAGUUUGAUCUACAAAAGUUCAACUUGAAAAACAGAAACAGAGACAAAUGGAUAUACAGUAUGCAUCUUGUGAAACACAGUUUCACUGGUAGUCAGACUCCCUAGAAAAAAUCUUGCACAUCAAUGUUUAAUGUUGUCUGCUUUAGAGUAUUUCCUGAUAAGAAAGAUGAAUUAGCAAGAAUUAGUAAAAAGUAAGGAGAAAGGGGUGUAAAAUGUAUAUAGAAUUUUUCUGAUGGUAUUGCAUUCUUUAACAAUUGCAUGUAGGGGAAGCAAGAUGAUUUAUCUUUUGUUAACAAUAGAAUGGAACUGGAACUCCCUUUCAUUGGUUUGACUCCUAUUUGGCUAGAAGGCACCAAUUAGUAAAUCUUUUCUGUUUUAAUUUGAUGAUGUUCCACUUAUUCAGGGUGUUCCACAGGGUACUGUACUGGGACCUCUAUAUUUCAGUUUUAGCACAUACUGUACUGUAUCUGUAACUUAUUGGUUAAAUCAUUCACCAUGGUGUACUUUCUGUUUUCAUUCUUAUGCUUAAUUAAUUACUAUGAUUACUUAUUCUCAGAAUUACUUGCAAUUUAAAUUUGAUAACAUUGUUGUGUUUCUGUACUUUUUAUAUACUGUAUCUGCUUCGUAUUAGGUAAAGAAUGCAAACUUUAACACGAAUGACGUUUUGUUGAUGGGCUCCCAACAACAAAGUCGCUUCCGAAAUAAAACCCUUGACUAAAGUUGAAAAC